rnacentral:rRNA from 1 species
GAUGAACGCUGGCGGCGUGCCUAAUACAUGCAAGUCGAGCGAACAGACGAGGAGCUUGCUCCUCUGACGUUAGCGACGGACGGGUGAGUAACACGUGGAUAACCUACCUAUAAGACUGGGAUAACUUCGGGAAACCGGAGCUAAUACCGGAUAAUAUAUUGCACCGCAUGGUUCAAUAGUGAAAGACGGUUUUGCUGUCACUUAUAGAUGGAUCCGCGCCGCAUUAGCUAGUUGGUAAGGUAACGGCUUACCAAGGCAACGAUGCGUAGCCGACCUGAGAGGGUGAUCGGCCACACUGGAACUGAGACACGGUCCAGACUCCUACGGGAGGCAGCAGUAGGGAAUCUUCCGCAAUGGGCGAAAGCCUGACGGAGCAACGCCGCGUGAGUGAUGAAGGUCUUCGGAUCGUAAAACUCUGUUAUUAGGGAAGAACAAAUGUGUAAGUAACUAUGCACGUCUUGACGGUACCUAAUCAGAAAGCCACGGCUAACUACGU